rnacentral:rRNA from 1 species
CAAUAGCAUAUAUUAACGUUGUUGCAGUUGAAAAGCUCGUAGUUGAACUUUUGGUAGGAGCGACCUGGCCUUGGGCGCAUGCCCUUGUUUGCCGUGUGUCGUAUCUGGCCAUCCUUUUCUUCUUUUUGGAAGGAAUCCUUUACUGUGAGUAAACUGGAGUGCUCAAAACAAGACGUUUGUUUGGUACAUUAAAGCAUGGAAUAAUAAGAUAGGACCUGGUUACUAUUUUGUUGGUUUGCAUAGCUAGGUAAUGAUUAACAGGGACAGUUGGGGGUAUUCGUAUUUAAUUGUCAGAGGUGAAAUUCUUGGAUUUAUGAAAGACAAACGACUGCGAAAGCAUUUACCAAGGAUGUUUNCAUUAA